CCGGCCAGCUGGUACCCCGUCGUCGCGCUCGACCUAAACAGGAUAUGGUUAAACAUUUGUCGUGGACAGCUUCAUGGCUUUGUACAAAGACAAGUAUCACAUCGGCCGCAUUCAGAUAUGUAGAUACUAAGCAAAACUCUUGAUGCAAACAAGGACCCGUUCAGGAGGGGUGACAACCUCCAUGUAAGUCGUCGCUACUUUUUAUCUUCCAUAAUUCUUUCAAACUUUUUAUGCACCAAAGAUGCUGGAUGAAAUAAAGUAGGAAAAGUAAGAUGCAGAUGGGUCUUUGAAAAAAAUCACAGGAAAACAUUGUUUCUGGGCACCGCUAAAUUUUAAAAAUAAAAAACUGAAUUUUGUGGCUUAAUUUUAAAAAUGAAAACUGGAUUUUGUGGCUGUUUGAUGUGCUUGGACAUAUGUGUGAUCUGGUGGACAAAAUAACCAGGUGUUUGCACCUGUGUAAACACCCUAAAAUUCCACUAGUUGACCUACUUGGCUCAUAAUUAAUUGCUUAUGAGACUGUAUCUUCAGAGAAACAACUUGGCCUUUUAGACAACUGUUUCACUAACACAAAUCUUAAAUACUUGAACUGAGAAAAAAAAAAGCUUCAACUAAAUCAGAGGCCAAGUUUCUACUGUAUUUGGCGCAAAGUCGUUGGUUUGUUGAUAUUUUCCUAUUUAAUACUCCUUGGUUAUGUGCGACUGCUACACACCACAAGGCGUUCCAAUCCCCACCAACAAUAGUGCUCCUGUGUCUAAAUACACAUACACACGUGAGAACAUAAUAAGUUGUACAAUAUAAAUUAGUACCACACUGCACUCACUUUGCAUCAGAUGGAAAUGAGUUAGGAAGAUAGGAGUGAAAUGCUACAUAAACUUACACAAAAACUGAACAUUGCAUUUCACCAAGUGAAAUUCUACAUUUUUACUACUAACCCAUUCUCUCUUUCUUAGUGGUUUUGUUAUGUAGGUUGGAAGAAAAGAAGAAGAUCCAGAGAAGAUCUUUGUAAUAAGAUAGUUUUUAGGAAAAUAGAUAUUUAGUUUUAGGUCAUUUCUUGUAAUUUCAGAUAUGGAGUGCUUGUCUUUAGUUUUUGUUUUGA